rnacentral:rRNA from 1 species
CGUCUAUAUACGUAUAGCAUAUCAAUAAGCGGAGGAAAAGAAACUAACAAGGAUUCCCUUAGUAACGGCGAGUGAAGCGGGAAGAGCUCAAAUUUGAAAUCUUCAAGGUUUUACCUUGACGAAUUGUAGUUUAAAGAAGUGUUUUCUGUCGAGAGUUUAGUAAAAGUUCUUUGGAAUAGGACAUCAUAGAGGGUGAGAAUCCCGUAUUUGACCAUUAUUUUCUAGCUGUGUGAUACACUUUCAAAGAGUCGGAUUGUUUGGGAAUGCAGUCCAAAAUGGGUGGUAAAUUUCAUCUAAAGCUAAAUAUUGGCGAGAGACCGAUAGCGAACAAGUACCGUGAGGGAAAGAUGAAAAGAACUUUGAAAAGAGAGUUAAACAGUACGUGAAAUUGUCAAAAGGGAAGCGUUUGACACCAGUGUUGUUUUUCCGAAAAUCAAUUAAGAGUGGCUUGAUUUUGUGAUUGUAUUGACCUUAUCAGCUUUCUUCACUCUUUUUCGAGUCUUUCUUAAUGCACUUUUCGGUUAACAAGUCAACAUCAAUUUCUUUUGUUGUAAAAGGGUAUUUGGAAGGUGGCUUUCUUUUCGGAGAGAGUGUUUAUAGCCUUAUACCUCUACAAUCGGAGAGAUUGAGGUCUGCAGCGUAGAUCCUUCGGGGCUAGAUACACUUGUGCUAAGUUAUAGCUUUUCAUAGACAACUUGUUGACUAUGUUUAGUCAUGUAGCUUACUCGCUUGUGCUAUUUUACCUACGCUUAGGAUGUUGAGUCAUCACACAUCUCU